rnacentral:rRNA from 1 species
UGGUUCCCUAGUAACGGCGAGUGAGAGGGAAGAGCUCAAAUUUGAAAGCUGGUACCUUCGGUAUCCGCGUUCUAACCUCGAGACACGUUUUCCGUGCGGCGCUAUGGACAAGUUCCUUGGAACAGGACAUCGUAGAGGGUGAAAAUCCCGUACUUGCCAUGGAUGUACCGUGCUUUGCGAUACGUGCUCUAAGAGUCGAGUUGUUUGGGAUUGCAGCUCAAAAUGGGUGGUAGACUCCAUCUAAAGCUAAAUAUCGGGGAGAGACCGAUAGCGAACAAGUACCGUGAGGGAAAGAUGAAAAGCACUUUGGAAAGAGAGUUAAAAGUACGUGAAAUUGUCGAAAGGGAAGCGCUUGAAGUCAGCCAUGCCGCUCAGGACUCAGCCUGGCUUUUGCUUGGUGUAUUUCCUGGGUAGCAAGUCAGCAUUGGUUUGGAUCGUCGGAGAAGCAUAGUCGGAAUGUGGCGCCCUCGGGCGUGUUAUAGCCUUCUAUUGGAUACGGGCGAUCUAGACCAAGGAACG